rfam:Strongylocentrotus purpuratus Contig101867_fixed, whole genome shotgun sequence.
UCCUUGGCAGUAUAGUGGUGAGUAUCUCCGCCUGUCACGCGGUAGACCGGGGUUCGAUUCCCCGCCAUGGAG